rnacentral:lncRNA from 1 species
CUAGGAUCAUUUAUUUGUUUAUAGGGGCCACUAUUCUGUCAUGUGGUGGGUCGAGUCAUAUUCGAAAUAGCAGGAGGCUAGAUUGGGCCAAAUCAUGUUCGAAGUGGUGUAAGGCUGGUUGAAUCGAGUUACAAUAUUCGAGAUCUGUGGCCGGUGUAUCUGUACAGUUUAAGUGAAUUGGUUGUAUAUUUCUUACAGCUCGAGUUUGCAAAAUUAAGGGGUUGUUUGGUUGCACGCAUUUGCAACUACGGUGCAGUUGCAAACGCAUGCAACCUCAAUUCCUAUGUUUGGUUUAGUGUAGUUGAGUCCAACUGCUGCAGUUCCAACUACAAGAAGGUCCAAAUGCUGCAGUUGGAACUACAUCCAAAUU